rnacentral:lncRNA from 1 species
AUUCGUCGCAGCCGCCGUCACCUCUCCCUCAGCCCAUGAGCUUGAACAAGAGUGUCCCCGAGCAGGUACUCGUUCUCUUCCCUUCCCUCUCCCGCAGACCACGAGCUCGAACAGUAGGUCCCCUUCCCAGGCUUUUCCAUCCCCGUCCAUUUGCUCCCUGUGUGAAUGAUGUCACCUGCAUUUGAUUGCAUAUAUUUUCUCUCAACUUGUUUGUAUAUAUAUGUACCAGCCAAGUCUAGAUCAAGCAGCACCAGAUCGAUUAGUACUAGCUGCUUGAAUUGCUGUCAAUAGAAGUAUGGUAGUACUGAAUGGGACAUGACCCUUCCAUCUAGACAUGCAUCUGAAUUUUUAUAAUUUCUCAAUCUGGAUUUAAUCUUCUGAAUAUUUCAGUGUUCACUCUUGCCAUUAUCGGGAGUUAACCUUCCUAAUUUCUGUAAUCAGUAAUUAGAUUAGAACAAUUUAGUAGGGCUCAAUAGAGAACCUGUGCCGUUGGUCAUGUGGAAUCAGAUAUAUAUAAAAAUUUUGGAGAGUAUUUCUUGAUAACAAUAGCUGCUAACUUAAUUAGACUCUGCUCUUAGAUUGAUAACAAUAGGUGCCACCGUCCGUGGCACUGCAGCUGCUGUCCCCAACACUGCUCGCCCCGCCCGCCGUAGCCGUCAUCCCCACCCCAUUGUCAUAGACACCGUCCUCUCUCCCGCUGUAGAAUAGCGGCACAUGAGUAGGUACUCGUUAUCUUCCAUUCCAUGCUAAUUAGAACAUCUUUUAUUUUUACCUAUUUGCUUGUUGAAGUAAGUAUGAUGCUUGUCCUUACAGAAAUAAACAAUUUUAGAUUUUUUUCUUACCAAUUAAUCAUACCAGCUAAAUAAAAUAGAAUAAAAAUUGUAAUACUAUGAUACACAAGCUUGUAAUACAUCCAACCUCUAAUUGAUAAUGACUUAUAAACUGAAGUUGGGAGACUUAGAGAGACUGCAGUCUAGAGACUGAUAUACUAUGUUGUGUGCCAAUAUUAAUUCUCUGAACUUGUUGGUAUAUACCAGCCAAGUCUGAUGUCAUCAUAAUGUUAUUGCAGCUGCUCCACGUGUAGUUGGACACCUUAGGAAGGCAUCUGAACGUGCUCCAAGCAGCAGCUCUACUUGUUUCUAUUGUAGGUUUCUAUUGGCCUAGCUAUGAUCUCUUACUUUUUCAUGCUAAGGAAGUUUGCGACUAUUUCCGUGCUUAUGAUAUGUUUUUUCAUUUCAUAUUGAAAUCUACUUGCUGUCUUGCAUGAAGGUUGAACAUGGAUAAAUCAUGGAUUGAUGAUAAUGCUAGGUAAAAACCAGUAAUUGGACAAAUAUUAAAAGUUCUAUAUACAUGUCAAAUGGUAUUUAACCUAAAACUUUCACAUAGGCACACCAAGACAUAUUUGCAAGGAGUGAAUAGUUUCUUAGUUUUUGCUUUUAGUAAUUCUGCAGUGGGCAGCAAGAUAUUAUGCCUGUGUAGAAAGUGUGUAAACUCAUUUUGGAAAGAAGCAAGUGAAGUCUGUGAGCACUUGAUAUGUGAUUGAUUUCUAGAAGGUAUCGAACAAGGAACUUACAUGGAGAAGCUAGCUCUUCUAUGAAUCAUGAGAAUUAUGAUGCUGCUGCUAAGGUCAUAGAGGAUUCUAGUGAGGAUGAUGAAAUAUCUGAUUUGCUUAGAAACUUAGCUGCUGGUCUAGAUGAUAGAGAAGAUUUUGAAGACAAUAGUUCAACUUUGGAGACCUGUCCUGAGCUAGUUGCCCUUCAAAAGUUGGUAGCAGAAAAUAACAAAGAGCUUUUCCCAAAUUGCAAGAAAUAUACACAACUAAGGUUCCUAAUUAGGUUGCUCCACAUCAAACUCCUAGGAGGAUGGACUGAUAGAUCUAUGGACCUACUACUAGAUAUACUUAAUGGUGCAUUCCCUGAGGGUCCAAAUCUACCUAGAAACUUUCAUGAAGCUAUGAAAUUGGUGAAAACCAUUGGUGUUUGUUACAAAAUAUUCAUGCUUGUGAAAAUGAUUGUGUUCUCUAUUGGACAGAGUAUGUGGAUUAGAUUCGUGUCCGAAAUGUGAGGUUUCUCGAUGGAAAUCAAAUAGGAGGAGCCUUGAUGGGAGAAAUGUCUAUAAGGUUCCUAAGAAAGUUCUCCGCUACUUUCCUAUGAAGAAAUCAUUUCAAAGGUUAUUUUUGUCAUCUAAAACAGCAAGUCUAACAAGAUGGCAUGAUGAAGACUGAAAAAAGGAUGGUCUACUAAGGCAUCCGGAAGAUUCACCUCUAUGGCCAGACUUUGAUGAAAGGCAUCCAGAAUUUUCUGCAGAUAGUCGAAAUAUUCGAGUAACAUUUGCCACGGAUGGGUUUAAUCCAUUUAGAAUGAACAAUGUUAGCUAUAGUGUUUGGCCUAGUAUUUUCAUAGAAUUUUCUACAGCAAGAGCUUUGCUUGUUCUAGACGUGAAUAGGUAUACUUAUCUUUUUUCACAAUCGUACAUAGGUACUUUCUGCAAAUUGUCUAUAUUGAAAGCUAAAACACUUGGAGGGCCUUGAGCUUGUACGUCCUCCUUGACGAGAUGAAGUAUAUGUCAAAACUCAUACAAGAAAAAAUGGUGUUCCAACACAUAAAGCAGAACCAAUCAUUGUAAGUUUUCAUGCAUUUUUUGCUGAAUUGUAGUAGUUCAUAAUGAAUGUGUGUAAACAUUGAUCUCCCAUAUAUGUAGAACAAAUUUCAAGAAAUUGUUGAAGCCCACCUAGAGUUGAAGGAAAGAACAAUUGAACAGGCUGAUGCAUUUGCUGCUGCUUGUGGUGUAAAGAAGCCAUGAGGGCAUGUGCGAACUCUAGGUCUAGGACCAACUCCUCAAGACAUUGGUAUAGCCAGAUUGAAGUGUUACCCAUCUACAAGAUUUCAAAUGGAAGUUUUGGCUCAUAAAACAGCUGAACAACGCAUAGUUGAUCUAGUAGAGCAAAUGAAAAGGCAGGAGGAAAGGCAUACAGAUGAAAGGCAAAACUUUAUGGAAGUCAUGUCACAUAAUGGUUCUAAUUUACACCAAUAUGUGGUAUAAUACUAGCUAUAACAAUACACUAGCUAUUUAUUUUCGCUCUUAAUACCCUUUGCAGAUUUGUCUCUUUAUUGUUUCCAUUUGUUUGUAGAGCCCAAGGUCUACAGAAAAUGUUGAUGACACACAUCAUCAUGAUGCUCCUUUCCAAGAAGAUGAAGAUCAUGGAGAUAAUGAAGACCAUGAUGCAUAUCCUCAGGACGGUGAAUACUUGUUUGCAGAGACGUCCUGCAGCCUUUGCUAUGCAGUCUCAUCAACAUAGCCCCAAUAGUACAGCUCAUACAAUGUAGACCCAUGCAACCUCACCCCAUCAGUGCAACCUCAAUGUUACAGCAGCCCAUGUUGCACAGCAUUUUGAUCCCUUGUCCCAUCGCCGCUUCUCCAACAAUGCAGCCCCUACAGUCCAGCAUGGUACAACACAUGAAGUGCAGCCUAAUGCAACCUUAUCCUAUCAGUGUAUCCCCAACAAUGGAACCUCUACAGUCCAACAUGGUGCAGCCCAAGAAUUGCAAUCUGAUCCAGCACAACAUCAGUUCUUGAAUGCUAGAGUUGUAGACUUAACCAUAUUUUCUUACUAAAAAAUUUUCCUAUGCCAUCUUGAUGUUACAGGUUGAGGGAGGCCUUGGAGGAAGCCAACAUAUGACAUUUUGCUUUUGAUAAGAUGGAGACGAGGCAUUUUGUAGUGAAUCUAGUUAGAUUGUGCAUGCAAACAUAUGACUUGUCCAUGCCAUUUGACCUAGCUAGAUUGUAUGUGUGCUGUUUCUUGUGUAAUGAUGACUUGUCAUGAAUUGUGACAAUGUUGGCUUCAAUGAAAACUUGAGAUAACUUAUUUUAUAUGGUUGAUGAGUGUUGUGGGCAGCUAUGGUUUACACAUAUAUGUGGUUGAUGAAUAAUGUAACCUGUUAUGGAUGUUUAUUAAGCAUGAAAUCUAGUUAAUAUGAAAUUGAAAUUAU